rnacentral:rRNA from 1 species
UACGUAGGUGGCAAGCGUUGUCCGGAUUUACUGGGCGUAAAGAGCGCGCAGGCGGUCGUUCAAGUCGAGUGUGAAAUCCCUCGGCUCAACCGAGGAACUGCGUCCGAUACUGGUGGGCUUGAAUCCGGGAGAGGGAAGCGGAAUUCCGGGUGUAGCGGUGAAAUGCGUAGAUAUCCGGAGGAACACCGGUGGCGAAGGCGGCUUCCUGGACCGAUACUGACGCUGAGGCGCGAAAGCUAGGGGAGCAAACGGG